GACGGGACCCGCACAAGCAGCGGAGCAUGUGGUUUAAUUCGAAGCAACGCGAAGAACCUUACCAGAUCUUGACAUCCAAUUGACCAUCUUUUAAUCGAGAUUUUGCCUUCGGGUACAAUUGAGACAGGUGGUGCAUGGUUGUCGUCAGCUCGUGUCGUGAGAUGUUGGGUUAAGUCCCGCAACGAGCGCAACCCUUGUGUUUAGUUGCAAACAGGUCAAGCUGUGCACUCUAGACAGACUGCCGUGGACAACACGGAGGAAGGUGGGGAUGACGUCAAAUCAUCAUGCCCCUUAUGAUCUGGGCUACACACGUGCUACAAUGGCCGGCACAACGGGAAGCGAGUUCGCGAGGACAAGCGGAUCCCUUAAAGCCGGUCGCAGUUCGGAUUGAAGUCUGCAACUCGACUUCAUGAAGCUGGAAUCGCUAGUAAUCGUGGAUCAGCCAAGCCGCGGUGAAUACGUUCCCGGGCCUU
rnacentral:rRNA from 1 species